CCUACGGGAGGCAGCAGUGGGGAAUAUUGGACAAUGGGGGGAACCCUGAUCCUGCGACGCCGCGUGAGUGAAGAAGUAUUUCGGUAUGUAAAGCUCUAUCAGCAGGGAAGAAAGAAAUGACGGUACCUGACUAAGCAGCCCCGGCUAACUACGUGCCAGCAGCCGCGGUAAUACGUAGGGGGCAAGCGUUAUCCGGAUUUGCUGGGUGUAAAGGGAGCGUAGACGGCGAUGCAAGUCUGAAGUGAAAGGCGGGGGCACAACCCCCGGACUGCAUGGGAAACUGUAUGGCUUGAGUGCAGGAGAGGGAAGUGGAAUUCCUAGGGUAGCGGUGAAAUGCGUAGAUAUUAGGAGGAACACCAGUGGCGAAGGCGGCUUACUGGACUGUAACUGACGUUGAGGCGCGAAAGCGUGGGGAGCAAACAGGAUUAGAUACCCGAGUAGUC
rnacentral:rRNA from 1 species